GGGCCGUUAGCUCAGUUGGUAGAGCAGGGGACUUUUAAUCCCAAGGUCGUGGGUUCGACCCCCACACGGCCCACCA
rnacentral:tRNA from 3 species